GGAACGCAUAGCAAUAGCUCAGUGGUAGAGCAUUCGACUGCAGAUCGAGAGGUCCCCGAUUCCAACUCGGAUGCUCCCU